GGCCUAGAUGGGUGGACUGGACAUAGUGGUGAGUCAGGAAAAUUCUAGUGUGGAUGAGAGUCACAGGGGUUGGCAGGAGGCAGAGUUCCUUGGUAGCAAUUCCAGCUCCUCUGAAAGCUUGCUGUGCGACUUUUUGGAAACUUCUAUGGUAUCAUCCACAUUUUACAGAGAAGCAUGGGACACAGCAAGGAAGAAGCAAAAUCUAGAUUCAAAUUCUACAGCCUAACUCGGAAGAUCAUACUCUUAGUAAAUAUUGUUUAUAUUU
ensembl:lincRNA Dreg1 predicted gene 13218